UUUUGUUGUUUACAAGGUCACGGUGUCUGACCACGAUAAGCAUACCUGAGUACAUUUAUCAAAGUGUGAUGGAGAACAAUACUUUGCACCAAGACUCAGAUGAUGCUCAAAGCUUGAUGGCCAAUGAAGACAUUAAAGGUAGUCAUCUUUGUUAACAUUUAUGCUGCAAUUCUGUUUCUUGUAGUUAUGAGGUUUCUUCUUCCUGUUCAAUCAGAGCAAGAGAACACGUGUAUUAAAACUGCAGAUUACUGGAUCUAAGGUUUCCCAAACCUUUUUUAACAUUUUUACUCUUCUUAGAGGAGACAACAGUUCAAGCGGGAGGAGAAUCUGAAGAGGAUGGUGCAGAAGCUUCGGUUUCACCUGUAAAAGACAGAACGGAUGCAGAGAAAAACCUAGAAGAAAACAGAUCACACAGUACUCUGUCUGAAGCAGAUACGAAAGAGCAGUUUGUCUUUAAUGAAAAAGGCACACAGAUAUUGAUAAAUCCCACAAGGGUAAGAAGGACCAGUCUUUUGCAUCCUGGUUAAAACAAUUGUUUACAAAUGUGAAAUUUAGAAUGUACUUGAUAGAUUUGUUGUGCCG
rnacentral:lncRNA from 1 species